rnacentral:rRNA from 1 species
GAUGAACGCUGGCGGCGUGCCUAAUACAUGCAAGUCGAGCGAACAGACGAGGAGCUUGCUCCUCUGACGUUAGCGGCGGACGGGUGAGUAACACGUGGAUAACCUACCUAUAAGACUGGGAUAACUUCGGGAAACCGGAGCUAAUACCGGAUAAUAUAUUGAACCGCAUGGUUCAAUAGUGAAAGACGGUUUUGCUGUCACUUAUAGAUGGAUCCGCGCCGCAUUAGCUAGUUGGUAAGGUAACGGCUUACCAAGGCAACGAUGCGUAGCCGACCUGAGAGGGUGAUCGGCCACACUGGAACUGAGACACGGUCCAGACUCCUACGGGAGGCAGCAGCAGGGAAUCUUCCGCAAUGGGCGAAAGCUUGACGGAGCAACGCCGCGUGAGUGAUGAAGGUCUUCGGACCGUAAAACUCUGUUAUUAGGGAAGAACAAAUGUGUAAGUAACUAUGCACGUCUUGACGGUACCUAAUCAGAAAGCUACGGCUAACUACGUG